AAACCAACAGGGGAUUGCCUUAGUAGCGGGCGAGUGAAGGCGGCAAAAGCUCAAAAAUUUGAAAUCUGGCACUUUCAGUGUCCGAGUUGUAAUUUGAAGAAGGUAUCUUUGGGUCUGGCUCUUGUCUAUGUUUCUUGGAACAGAACGUCACAGAGGGUGAGAAUCCCGUGCGAUGAGAUGUCCCAGACCUAUGUAAAGUUCCUUCGAAGAGUCGAGUUGUUUGGGAAUGCAGCUCUAAGUGGGUGGUAAAUUCCAUCUAAAGCUAAAUAUUGGCGAGAGACCGAUAGCGAACAAGUACAGUGAUGGAAAGAUGAAAAGAACUUUGAAAAGAGAGUGAAAAAGUACGUGAAAUUGUUGAAAGGGAAGGGCUUGAGAUCAGACUUGGUAUUUUGUAUGUUACUCUCUCGGGGGUGGCCUCUACAGUUUACCGGGCCAGCAUCAGUUUGAGCGGUAGGAUAAGUGCAAAGAAAUGUGGCACUGCUUCGGUAGUGUGUUAUAGUCUUUGUCGAUACUGCCAGCUUAGACUGAGGACUGCGGCUUCGGCCUAGGAUGUUGGCAUAAUGAUCUUAAGUCGCCC
rnacentral:rRNA from 1 species